UACGUAGGGUCCGAGCGUUGUCCGGAAUUAUUGGGCGUAAAGGGCUCGUAGGCGGUUUGUCGCGUCGGGAGUGAAAACACGGGGCUUAACCCCGUGCCUGCUUCCGAUACGGGCAGACUAGAGGUAUGCAGGGGAGAACGGAAUUCCUGGUGUAGCGGUGAAAUGCGCAGAUAUCAGGAGGAACACCGGUGGCGAAGGCGGUGGUCUGGGCCGGUACUGACGCUGAGGAGCGAAAGCGUGGGGAGCGAACAGG
rnacentral:rRNA from 1 species